GUGUGAAAAGCUAACAUGGCCUUGAGCGCGGGCUAGACUUGGCUGGGAAACCUCCUUCUCCUGUCUGGGGUGUGAUUCUAGCCAGCUCAGGAGCCCAGGUGAUCCCCCAUGGUUGGGGACCAAGAAGACGUAGUUUGUGAAUCCAGGUUAAGCAGUCACUGGCUGUACCCACGAAAACUCCAGAAAGUGCCGCCAUCCUUGAGAAAAAUCUGCCUUCAGACUGACCGAGGUGCUGAUCGAUCCUUUCCGCAAAGGAGCUCCGGGAAGUGGGAAACUUUUGCCAGAGGACAGACUGCAGAAGGAUCCAAGAGUCACCUGUGCUCAGGUUUCUGCUGGAAUGAACUUACUCGGUAAGUAUUCCCCAAACAAAAGGCACGAUACUCACCUUUUGGCUUUAUCAGGUGUUAACAUUUGGCUGCAAAUAGGAUAAACCACUUGCACCACCCAGGUUCCUGGCUUCCUCAAUCGGAGGGGUUCUUGGGGCGGCAGGUGCUGUGGAUGGCUCUUUCCGCAUGUGCCCGGGCUGCCAAAGGACAGACAGGUGAUGCAAGGGCGAUAGAAGGUGCAGCACAUUAGCUCCGUGGUGCAUGCCGGAGGUGAGCAGUUUCAACAAAGCCAAGGGAGAAAAUCUACCUGACGGUGGUACGCCCUCAUUAGAGGGAUCAGACCUCUAAGGGGAAGUUCGUGGCUGUGGGGGCUUUGGAAGCCCCUCUCAACGAGAAACUUCUGUAAGGAUUCUGACCCCAUCCUUCACAACUUCUCAAGCAGCUGAGCUCAUCAGACUGGCUGAGGCUGAGGACGCUCUUUGCAGGAACAUUCUCUGGAAGAAGACUCAGGCAGCAUGGUGUGAGAACCUGUUCCGGUCUGAUGUGUGGCCCCUGUUCUGAUGCUUGAUGACACUUCUCAACUCCUGAAGAAUAAGGGGUGCACCUUCCCCCCCCCUUUUUGUAAAUCACAAAUCAACAGGACGUAAUAGUUCCAAUGCCACUUCUCUUUCUUUCCAAAACUCCAGCUUCUGUCCCUUCCAGAGUUCAGUCCUAAAAGAGCACUCAGAAGAAGUAUUCAGAAAAUGUGGGUUUAGCACAGAACAAAAGUAGCCCAACUCCACCCCUGGGGAGUCAUUAAAAGCAGUAAGCCGACAGCUAAUCUACAACACUGAACAGUAACAAGUACCUGUUCUGUAAGUAAUCCAGGGAGCCUGAGUUGAUGUGUGUGAUUUGGGGCAAUCCCGAGUGCUUUCAUUCGGGGAGAAGUUCAUGCUUGUGUCAAGAUGAAACCUCACGCCCUCGGAAAAUGUAAAGAAUGCUGGCGUGUCUUCGUUAGUCUUCUGUAGUUUUCACACCAAGUAAAGACUGUAGAAUUUACAUGUAUUGUUAUUUAUUCUAACUGAAAGCAAACCGGCGCCCUAUUUGAUAGAUAUUACGCCUGGAGUCGUUUUAAAAUACUGGGUCGUGUCUGGAAAUGGAUACAAGUUCCUACAUGAUCACACUUUAAAAAAUCACUUAACUGUUUGCUUGGGUUUUCACUAGUGGGGGGAAAGAGAAAACAUGAUUUAAAAAUGUAAUCAUUACAGACCAUGUGCUUGACGGUGGGGAGGUAUGGAAACCAUACUCCCAGCCAGUUACACUUUAAACAAAAUGUAAAUACACAUACUUUAAGACUCAGAAUCCAGACAAGCAUUUACAUAGCAAUGCACCAGGAAUUUAACAUAUGUUAAAAUAGAGAAAACCCCAGGCCCCAAAUGGUGUCACUUAGACCAAGUUCCCAAACCCCAGGGGCUUAAAACCCCUUCUGACCGCAGUUUCCAUCUUGCCCAAGAAACGUGGCCUCAACCCGUCAGUCAGGAAAAAUUUUCUUUCCAUCAGUGGCAACCGGGGGCACUGGGUCCUCUCCGUCUCCCAAAGAAAGAUCAGGGAAUCUGUGUGAGAAGACGCCUUGCUUUCCUUCCUAGCAAACUGCCUGGUCUGGAAUAAUCGUUCCUCACCAUCUGUCUCUGAAAACCUUCCAUUUUCUACCAUUUCUCAGGACUUCCCUCCACUUGCUAGGUGGGGUGCUGCCUGAUUCAGGAAUGGCUUGGUAAAGCCAAUUAGGUCUUCAAAUGUACCUGGUUGAAUUUCAUUAUUUAGCACAUAUGAUGAGUGAUAUGUAUUUUCUUUCCUGAAGUGGGGUCCCAUUUCCUCCCUUCCUUCCUUCUUUUCCUUCCUUUCUUCCUUCCUUCCUCCUUUCUUCCUUUCUUUUCUCCUCCUGCCCUCCCCUCCCCUUUUCUUUCUCUUGUCUCUUUUUGUCACACAAAAAGACGUCAUCUCACAAAAAUGAUCUCUUCUUUUCAAACUAGGAUUUUGGGGGGGGGGGGGGGGGGGGGGGGGGGGGGGAGGGGGAGGGGAGAGUGGUUACCUUACUUGCUUCUUUCUAUCCCCAGGGAACUGUAGGUCUGUUCCCACUCCCUCUUUGUGGGUGUAGUUCGAGCAAACAGAUUCCUUUCCCCCUCAAACUAAGUGCCUUCUAAUUUUUACGAAUUAUAGGAACUUAAGUAAAACUUUAGUAGAUUCGCUCAUAUAAAUAAAUAUAAUAAAAUUCACAUGCCAGAUAAAUCCAUUUGUGUUCUGGAGGGGCUCAGACUUACACAGCAGGUAAGGAGCCUCGAGGCCACACCACCGCAUCUGGCCGGCCUGCCUCUUGCAGACAGACCCACAAGCCAUGUGUCCCCCAGUGCCCUUGCAAGCCGGCUGUCUGCUGGGAGGUGCAUUCCACACAGUCCUAGCCUAGGGUAUUGCUCCCUCGGGAAACGAGACAAAACAUCUAACCAAAUUAAAGGAAAAUCCAAACAAUAAGCGAAGGCAUUUCCUACAAUGCUGGUCUCUUUUAACACUGAUCAAAAACUUCUAACAUUAUCAAUCUGUUUCCUCUAUUAACAACAUUGCUUACUAUUUAUUUUGUUUCUUUUUUUAAAGCCUACUAUUGUGUGUGUGUGUGUGUGUGUGUGUGUGUGUCUGUCUGUCUGUGACAGAGAGAGAGAGACUUGGAGUUUUUCUGCUAUAAACACUGCUCGUAACUCACAUUUUUCUCAAUAUGACAUUGCUUUUCUAACUUUAUAGGAUCUUGCACUGUGCCUAAGUUUUAAUUUUUUCUGCAAUCAGUCCUGAAAGCAUAAAAAUAAAAAAAUAAGUUGAUGUCCUAGAAGGUUGCAAAAAUGGCCACAGGUUUUCACUCCUUGUGUCCAUUCCCUUUGCAAUGCAACUUUGCAGCUUCGCCCACCGCCCCCGUCGAGAAAUUGACCUGUUUCCGCACUCAUGACCCGCGCUGGCCAAUGGAAUGCGGUAGAAGUGACCGUGUACGCCAUUUGCUCUCUCUUAAAACCCCACCUCCACCCUGUGAAACGUCCAGGCUGGCCCAGUGCUAGGUGGGAGGCCGUGGCCUCGUUGCCCCCACCCCUGCCAAUAUCCAGCCAACCGGUAAACACACGGGUAAGGUCAUGCCGCUCGGUAAGGCCCAGCCCACCUGCCAGUUGACCUCAGUCUCAUGAGCGAGCCCCGCUGAGAUCAGCCACACCUGGCCCAGAGGGACAGAACGGCCCAGAUGACCUGCAGACACGUGACUAACAGUAAAUGAUUGCAGCUUUGCGGCACUAACUUUGGUCUGGGGCCUCAAAUACCUGAUUCACUUACAUUUUCUUUGAGCGUGUUUUGUUCUUAACUCUAACCCAUAUAAAGCCUACUUUUUUUUUGCAUAGGGUGAGGUAGUUAAGGGGCUUUUAUUUGUUUUAGCUAUAUGUGUGGCCAGUUUUCUCAACACUAUUGAACUUUCUUUCAUCACUGAUUUGAAAUGCCAUGGUUUUCAUUAACUAAAUCCCCACAUGCACAAGGGCUUGCUUCUGGACUGGCUAAUAGGUUCUGAUGUUUUAUUUUCUGUGUCUGAGCCAAUAACACAAUGUUUAAUUCCUUAAUCUGAGAGUAUGACUUGGUAUCUGGAAUGUUCCUGUGAAAUAAUGCAGGGGCCCAAUUAUUAGAAGUAAAGGGAGGGGAUGUUAUCUUAAAUACUUUCGUAUUUCCUCUAGAAUCCACGUAGCUCCUGUGGACAUGGUGGUGACUGCAAAAACAUUUGGUCUUCUGCAUUGCAAAUCUGUGGCGUUUAACAUACUAGGAAUAAAUUUGGGAGCCUGUGGUUUACAGAGAUGAUAUUUAUGGUCCUGAUCUCUUUUUGUCUUCACCACUCUAUCAGGUACAAGGUCAGCAAGCUGAGAAAGGCUAUAUCACCAUGAUGGUGGAGGAAGAAGCAGGGAAAAGAAGGAAAAGCAGCAGCAGCAGAAAAGGAGGAGAAAAAAACUAACAUCUACUGAGUGUUUAACUCUGUUAGUGUCUAUACCAAACACUGUACCUGCCUUGCCUUCUUUACAGCUUUGUGAGGUUAGUGCUAUUUAUAUAUCCAGUUUUCAGAGGAGAAGGUGAGAGUCCCAGAAGUUAUGUAACGAGUUCAAAGCCACACAGUCAAUGAGUCAAAAUUCUGAAUGAAUGUGAAUGCAAGGAAAAAAAAACAAACCUGGAAGAAAAUCCACGUCAUGGUUAGCGGUUGACUGGGAUGCCGUGGGAUUCUGCAGUCACACGGUGGGCGGUUUUCUCUCUCACAGCCUGGCUGGACCAGUAACCAAGGGAGGAGGCGGGGGCAAGACAUGUUCUGCGAUCGGCCUCACGGAGCUGUAUUACCCAGCCUGCCCCGCGCCGGUCUCGCCUGCCCCGUUCUCCCAGGACAUUGCACUCUUGCCUAGGAUCCGGCUUCUGCAUGACUCUCUAGUCCUUACCUUUAUAAGGGGUGGAACCAGAUCAAUGAAAGAAUUUUAUACAGAAAAGAAUUAAUGAGAAAUAGGUGACAAGGACGUUUAGAAGGGACAGGAAAAAUUCAGUUUUGCCCUUUACUUCCUGUUUCCGCUUCUCAGGCCCCCUGUCGCCCAGGUGUGCACACGUGGUGGGUGUUGGCCCUAUUUGGCUGUGUUCGUUAUAUUGCAACGGUAAAAAAAAAAGGUAAAGGUUGGAUUAUGAAUAUCGGGACAGAGGUGAUAACCUUUUUUUUUGGCCCAAAAGAAAAACAGAAUAGGACUUCGGAAAAGAGAAGAAAAUAGGGGGAAAUCAAUAACUUAUAAAAAGAAGAAUAGAAAGGACAAAAAAAAGUGAAAUAAAUUAAAGUCACAAAGAUGGAAAGGAUAACACGGAGUUGCCGGUAGGUCCAUUAAAUAGGAAUGGACUGAAUUCUAGUAAAAGACUCAGACAGGCAUUUUUCAUUUCAUUUCAUUUAUUUUUAAAAAUAUUUUUGAGAGAGGGGUGCCUGGGUGGCUCAGUCGGUUAAGGGUCCGGCUUCGGCUCAGGUCGUGAUCUCGCGGUCCGUGAGUUCGAGCCCCGCGUCAGGCUCUGGGCUGACGGCUCGGAGCCUGGAGCCUGUUUCCGAUUCUGUGUCUCCCUCUCUCUCUGACCCUCCCCCGUUCAUGCUCUAUCUCUCUCUGUCUCAAAAAUAAAUAAACGUUAAAAAAAAUUUUUUUUUUGAGAGAGAGAGUGCAUGCACACAAGCAGGGGAGGGGAAGAGAGGGAAACAGAGGCUCUCUAGCAGGCUCUGUGCUGACAGCAGACUGCCUGAUGCCUAUGAGGGGCUCGAACUCACUCAUGAACGGAGAGAUCAUGACCUGAACGGAAGUCAGCCGAAGUUUAACCAAUGAGCCACCCAGGUGCCCCUAGGCAUUUUUCAUUUUAAAAGACUACACAUAAAGUUAAAUGAAAAAGAGAAAAUCAAGGAAUGCAUAAGUAUAUGUAGCAAAUAUACGACAUUCUUAUUUGCUUUUUACUUGUACCUGACGAGGUGAAAUGAAAGGUUCAAGGUCAAAGACAAAGGUUAGGGUAUUGGGCUGCAACCUAAGGCAGCAAAGGUGAGCAUCUGGACGGAUGGGUGCUCUUCUCUUUCUUUCGUCUCCUCCUUUUUUUCCCUUUCUUUUUAUUUUUUUAAUGACAACAGCUAGUUUUUUGUUGAACAUUCACAUCUCAUAAAAAUAAUUAAGUACUGAGAUGAUCCAGGAAGCCAGCUUGAAGUGAGUCGCUUAAAGGUAAAAACAAUAUUGUUCUGCAGGGUUAAGAUUGUGAUUAGAUUCUUAAUUGGAUUCUGACUACAUCCAGUUAAAUUUAUGCACAGUAAAAUUAAAAAUUAAAAUUGAGAUGUUAGCUACUCUAGGAACAGAAAUAGAGUGUAGAGAAUACUACCUCUUCCAAACAAGUAGAAGGUAACAAAUAAACAAACUAAAAUAAAAGCUCAAGCCAAAAAAAAAAAAAACAAGAAAGGAGAAAAAAAAUGGAUGUACAAAUGUAAGAUUGUAGGAAAAACACAAAUUCAUUCAUUCAACAGUUAUAGUAUCGAGGGCCUACUAGAAACCACAUAUUGUGGGAUACAGCAGUAAACAAAACAUAGGAAAUAUCUGCCUUCAUGAGGCUUCUGUCCUAGUCAGGGGAAACGUAAUGGUUCAGAUAAAUGAACAAAUCAUGCGGCAUGUCUUACGAUGAUAAACACAAGACAAAUAAAUGCAAUGGAUAUGUUAAGGGUGGAAGAAAGCUUGUCAAAAAUGGCCUCACUGAGAAGGUGGUUUUCAAAAAAAAAUAUGAGGGAGGUAAAGAAUUGAACCAUGUGGAUAUGAGGGGAAGAGCAUUUCAGACAAGGGAAGUGCAAAUAUCCUGGGGCUAGCCUGAGCUUGAGGAGGCUACACAGAACAGAGGGGAGGGUAGGAGGAGGUGAGAUCAGAGGUGAGGCAGGAUCAGAUCAUUGUAGGACCUUUCACUUUAAGUGAAAUGGGUAGUCUUCAGAGGAUUUUUUGAGAAGAGGGAGAGGAUCUAUCUUUUUUUUUUUUCUUUUUAGGAGGCUCAUUCUAGAUGCUGCGACGCGAACAGACCACAGGAAGAAACAGCAGACGGUGAUUGGGUGGCUCCUGUGUAACCCAGGUGAGGGACCGUGCAAGUCAGAGAGGUGAGGUGGUGGGAAGGGCAGGGGAGUCUGGAGAGAUCGCAAAGAGGUUAUCCACAGGAUUUGCCGACAGAUUACAAGUGCGGUGCGCAAGAGAUGAGUCGGGGUGGUGUUUCUUAGGCACUUGGAACCGUGCAAGUAAAUUAAGUUUAUAAUUGCAAUUAACCCUAAAUCUGAGAUAUAUACCAUUAUCAUCCCCAAGUGAGCUGGAGGAGCCAGAGUUCCUGGCAGGUCGUUGGCCAGUGCAUCACCCUGUGGUGCGCUCUCUCUCUUCCUUCCUUUCAGAGAAACCUCCCAGGUUGCCUGUUCCCAAGGCUUUGACCAAACCCAGAUGCCCUGGCCCAGAGUGAGUGUGUGUGUUUGGCAAAACUGCCCUGCACUACAUAGAAAGGUGAAUGUUGCUUAAGAAAAGCCAAAUGCAGGGCGCCUGGGUGACUCAGUCGGUUGAGCGUCCGACUUCGGCUCAGAUCACGAUCUCGCGGUCUGUGGGUUCGAGCCCUGCUUCGGGCUCUGUGCCGACAGCUCGGAGCCUGGGGCCUGCUUCAGACUCUGUGUCUCCCUCUCGCUCUGCUCCUCCUCUGCUCGCGUUCUUUCUCUCUUUGUCAAAAAUAAAUAAACAUUAAAAAUUUUUUUUAAAGAAAAGCCAAAUGUGAUCUCUUGGCUUUUAAGCUUGUCUCGCAGAAAAUCAUCAUGUCACCUUGGAAGAGGUGAAACUGGUGAAGGCAGCAAAUGACUUUACUUGGUACCACCUUACAAACGAACAGCCCCAUCUUUCACGAAUCAAUGAACAUUUAUGAUGGAGGAAAAAUCAGUGGAUGGCACAUAUCUCAGGUUUAGGAUUGACUGCGAUUGUAAACCUGUCACAAUUCCAAGGGCAUAAUAAGUGCAUUGCAAAUAUUAGCUGUCAUCAUGACCAAAUAAGUAAAAUCUUUAACAGGUUUUUUUUUUUUUUUUGAGAAGUAAUGAACUUGGUAAAUGUUAGCAUUCGUUUGCAAAUUGUCUUCUCCUCCAUCAAAGAGACGGGGACUGAGACCUGGAAAUACAUAAAAGUUUAAAGGCUAGGACCCGCCACCGACUGAGAAUCCACAUAAAUGAUGCAAAACUCCUCUAAAAUUAUCAUGUGAGUCGGUGAAAGAUAAGAAAAUAAAGAAAGUUCUGCGACGUUUUUCCAAAUCAUUAUUUUUUAAGUGAGGAACACGUGCUCGAUACUCAGAAUUAAAGUCUAAUUUAGCAAAGAAAUUAGAACAGCAUCCUAUCAUCGGAAAUGCUUCUAGAGUUCCUUCCCUACGAUGUAGCCUCCUGAGUGGCUUUGCACCUGCCAGUCUGUGAAUGUCCCCACCUGCUUAAGUGCUUGGCACCUUCCCUUCCUGGUACCUACGCAAGAGUCUCCUUACCACAGCCAAAGUCUUCCCCAUACAAGUUUCUUUCUUAUCCCCAGUUCACCGCUUAUCCAUGAAACAGUGUCCCUUCUCAAGCCUCAGCAUCGAUAAGAUUCAUGUGAGCAGUCUGUUCAAAUGCAGAUUCCCGGGCUUCAGCCCCGGACUCCAGAUUUAGUAAACAGGUGAACAUGGGACUCUGUUUUUUAACAGAUGACAUUCUCAUACACAUUGUCCACUGACCGUCCUUGGAGAAACAUUGUUUUGAGAAUAGUGUGCAUCUUGGUGCUCAAAGUGUGAGCCACGGGCCAGCAGCACCUGUAGUGUUUGGGGCUGGUUAGAAAUGCAGAAUCUGGGGCCCCAUCUGAGACCUUCUGAAUUAGGAUCUGCCUUGUGACAACAUCCAUCCAUAGGCGCUUCACAUUCAUGUUAACUUUUGAGGAGCACUGAUUAGAUCAGACAAAAGAAAUAUGUUGACCGUAUGUUUUAGUAAGGGCUUUUUUGUACUUUGAGGCUUUAAUUGUAAAGUGUUUUUUGUUUUUUUGUUUUUUUUUGAGAAAUCAUAGACACCGUUUUCCAAUCCUCUGAUUUGGUUCCCUUCUCCAGAACAUGAAGAUUUCUUACGGAGAUUACUUUAUCUUUGCCUUUACAAAAUCAGUUUUGAAGAAUUUCUGGCUCAUCAAGAGAAGCAGGUGCUAUUUUAAAUCUAGUAUAAUUUUCUCAACCGUGCAGAGACAGUUCGUGCAGUUACUAAGUAUGUACGUUUGAUUUGUUUGCUUCAGCCAUGACAUUGGGGUCAUCCUCCAGACAAAUAUCUCAUCUCGCCUGAUGAAAUCAGGAAGGUGCUUCUGGUGUCCAAGGGAUGAAUGUCUCAUCUCCUGGGAGGGGACUGAAGUCCUCUGCCAGGGGAAACCAGAACAUCUGUUGCAGGCAAGAUCCAGCCUGCUGGCUGAGCGGAGUCUACGGAGGCACUUAGAAUAAAGCCUUGGGUCUUCAUCAGAAGACAUUGCCAUGGUCAUCAAGCCAUUUGCAAUGGAAUCCAGGAUGCGCUCAUAGGGACUAAAUACGCUUAUGAAAAAAUGGUUAUUAGUAUAAUAGUGGGUCCAAAAAGCUCACUGUCUCAGGCACUGACUUUCCUUUUGCUCAUUUGAAAAAAAAAAGAUGGGGCACCUGGGUGGCUCAGUCGGUUAAGCGUCCGACUUUGGCUCAGGUCACGAUCUCGCGGUCUGUGAGUUCGAGCCCCGCGUCGGGCUCUGUGCUGACAGCUCGGAGCCUGGAGCCUGUUUCGGAUUCUGUGUCUCCCUCUCUCUGACCCUCCCCCGUUCAUGCUCUGUCUCUCUCUGUCUCAAAAAUAAAUAAAACGUUAAAAAAAUUUUUGAAAAAAAAAGUUUUUUUGUUUUUUUUUUUUUUUACUCACUGGAAACAGACUUAAUAUUUCAGGAAGAACAUUUUCACGAACAGAAAUUAAUUUUGCAGAUUCAACAGAGCAGUUCAGAUAAUGAAAAAGACUGGAAAGACAAUGCAAAAGAAGUUUGACUUUUGUUCCCAAAGCACUGUGGGUGCUCCAGCUGGUACUUCUCUUAGAAAUAAAAGUUGAUACUUGGUAUUUUGCUUCUCUAUCCCGUUUUAAAUUCUCUCUCCCACCUAGUGGGCUGUCGGGAAGACCCGCAAGGUCAUAAUCAUGAGCAAAGAUGGAGGCUGCACAGCAGGUGGUGAUGUGGGAGUCUUGACCCCCUAUUCAUGUAGCUUCCUUGCGAAGUCCCCUUCUCUGAUCUCAGCUUACCACCAUGCUAUGACAUAUUGCUGCUAUAAACUUAGGAUUUGGUGGACCCAACAAUGCCCAGCUGUGGUCAAGCACUUGUCUUUUUUUUUUUUUUUUAAUUAUUUUAAUGUUUAUUUAUUUUUGAGAGACAGAGACAGAGAGAGAGAGAGACCACAAGCAGGGGAGGGGCAGAGAGGGAGGGAUACAAAGAAUCCAAAGCAGGCUCCAGGCUCCAAGCUGUCAGCCCAGAGCCUGACGCGGGGCUUGAGCCCACGAACCAUGAGAUCAUGACCUGAGCCAAAGUUGGACACUUAACCGACUGAGCCACCCAGGCAGCCCUCCAUUCACUCUUUCAUACUCGUACGAGUCUUAAAUAAUUGUAAGCAUCGUAAAAUGUGUAAUUUAUAAGUCAAAAUUUCUAAAUAAUUUUUAAAGAUAACUAACUCUGGAAAAAGAGAAUAUGGAACCAAUGUGGACGAUCUUGCCCCAGGAGUCCCCAGACCACUAGGCAGGACUUGGGGGAGCCACCUAAUAGCUGUUGAGGGAGGAAACAUUUUAUUUCUUUGAUGUUUAUUUAUUUUUGAGAGAGAGACAGGGCAGAGAGAGAGGAAGACACAGAACCCGAAGCAGGCUCCAGGCUCUGAGCUGUCAGCACAGAGCCCAAAGUGAGACUGAAACCCAUAAACCGUGAGAUCAUGACCUGAGCUGAAGUCAGACACUUAAUUAAUUGAGCCGGGUGCCCGAGGGAGGAAACAUUUUAAAUUAGUAACAGUCAUCCUUAUAGCCGACUCAUACUCAAAAGCGGUGCCUUAUUUCUCAGACUGAAGAAAGCAAAUUCCAGGAUACUUUUUUCAGUGCUCAGCAGUCCUUCCCAUGAACGGCUCACAUAUCCGGACCCACCACACUCUGUUAGUCCAACAAACAGACGUUCUGAGGCCAGGACAUGAGUCACGUGCAUGGGGACAGUCUCCCGCCUCAACACUAUUAGCUUGUUGGGGCCCAGAAUUCGUCCUCAAAUGAAUGCUGUGGGGGCAGGGGGAGGGUCCUUUGUGCCCAGGCAGCCCCAGUCUUCGCCAGGGACUUACCCCCUCUCUCCUUCCCUCUGGGUUUGCCAAAGUUUACGUUCCUUUGUGUCUCCCCUGCCUAUUGUUCAGAUCCCUUAUGGGAUAGGGUCUUGUGCUAAGCCUUAACCUAUUUCACCAGAACCCUUGUGUAAGCCAUCAGAGUCACGUGGAGGCCUUAUCGGAACACAGAUUGCUGGGCUACCCCACCCCCAACAAUUCUGACUCAAUAAGGCUACAAUGAGGCCCCGGAAUUCGCAUGUCUCAAAAUUCCCAGCGGAGGCCUCUACCGUUGGCCCGCAGACCAGCCACACUGGAGAGCCACGGUGAGAUUGGCUGUUUGUUCAUCCAACAAACACUUCUUGAGGCUCUGCGCUGUGUCACCCACUGUACUAGGUGCUCAGGAUAAAACAAUCAGAAGAGAAAUGGAGUUUAUAUUCUAGCUGGAUAGGUGGAUGUAAAUAGUUGCAGGCAUAGUUAUUUAGUUACAGUUGUGAUGGGGAAAAUUACUAGAUAUUGUGUCACCAAAUAACAAGGGACUUAAGGAUAUCAGGGAAUGCAUCCAUUUCAACUAAGUUCCAAAGGACACAUUUAUAUUUUUCACUCAUUCAUUCAUUCGCCAUCUUCACUCAAGAAAAUAAAAUUUCUGGGGCGCCUGGGUCGCUCAGUAGGUUGAGUGUUGGACUUCAGCUCCCGUCAUGAUCUCACAGGUCUUGGGUUCGAGCCCCGCCUUGGGCUCUGUGCUGACAGCCCGGUCGGAGCCUGGAUCCUGCUUCAGAUUCUGUGUCUCCCUCUCUGUGCCCGCCUCCCUCCCCCCGCUGCUUGUGCUCUGUCUCUCUCUCUCAAGAAUAAAUAAAACAUUUAAAACAAAAAAGAAAAUUCCUUCAUUGAAAAGAACUUUCAUGAAAUACUCUUAAGCUUUAAACAGUAUUGAUAAUGGGAAAUGAUUUUCCCCCGGAACCCAGUUUUGGUUUCAGCUGACAUGCUAUUAGAAAAAAGGAGUAAAAGGAAGUUGGGGGGAAGGGGUGAGCCGAGAAGGCUUUGGGGCCUUGGGUGCCGUGCGGCUGAACAGUGCUGUGGAUCUGGUGUCAGCGCUAGAGGGUGAACGUGUAGGAGUCAGCCCUCCAGGGGGGCUAGUCCGGGCUUCCCUUCCGCAGGGGACGGAGCUGGAUCCCAGGGGGCCCCAAGACUCACCCAGCACAGCCAGUGUCGGAGCUGCGACCCAAGGCCUGCUCUGCAGGACUCUUUGCCCCAGCUGCCUCUGCACGGCAGGGCAUGCCAUUGGAAGCAGGGCAGGUACAGAUGGGCACCAGGUGGGAAACCCCACCAGAGCUGAGAUGGGCUGGGCUACAAGUAUAUGAAGGACCCGAAAGUCCUUGAAGGCAGGGCCAGUGAGAGGGUGGGGCCAAGCAAAGGGUGGGGCCAUCGAGAGGUGGGGCCAGGGAAGGGGUGGGGCCAUUGAGAGGUGGGGCCAGGAAAGGGGUGGGGCCAGUGAGAGGGUGGGCCAGUGAGAGGGUGGGGCCAGGAAGCACUUUGUCUUAAAAUGUAUGGUGAACCAGGGAAUAGUUUCAUUUAUUUAUUUCCUUAUUUAUUUACUUUAAUAUUUAUUUAUUUUUGAGAGAGAGAGAGGGAGACACAGAAUCCGGUGCAGGCUCCAGGCUCAGAGCUGCCAGCACAAGGCCCCACUCGGGGCUUGAACCCACGAGCUAACCGUGAGAUCAUGACCGGAGCCAAAGUUGGAGACUUAACAGCCUGAGCCACUCGGGUGCCCCUGGAAUAAUUUUAAACAGGGGUGUAACAAGUGAUCAGCUGUGAGAUUUGAGGCAAGUCACUUAAUGUUUUUAAAACUCUGUUAUCUGGAGGACACAACACCUUUCUCACCUACUUGGAGAACCUGGAAAAUCUCAGGUGAGAUUAUUAGCCGUAGAAUAUAAUAAAUGCACACGAAAGACAUUAUUCCAGCGGGCUGCCCUGUAUCAGCAGAAUUGGGUCCCAUUACUAACCAAUGAGUCAUCUUUCUGGUGCCAUUUCUUUGCCUACAUAAAAUACAGUUUUGACCAAAUGAACUGUAUGAUGCUUUCUAAUCCCAGUGUAUUCUAAUCCUAGGUAAAUUGAAAAAAAUGAUUUUCAAUUGUUUUUAUUAUUAUUUUUUUUAACGUUUGCUCUUCAAUGGAGGAAUCAGGCCAGACAGCUGCACAGGAAAAACAGAUGUUUAAAAAUACAUUUUGUGGAUAAAGUGUAUUUAUUUCCCUUUUCCUGGUUCCUUUUGACCUGUAUUAUUAUUAUUUUUUUGGCUUGUUUGACCCUUGGUAUGAAAACAUCACGGAUGCACACUCAUUUCUUAGAUUCUGUAAACCCCUCAAGUGCCCCAGGGUCUGGAGCACCUGGUGAGAAGGAGGUCAGUGGCUACACCCUGCUGUCCCCCGAUUUUCACACCCCUGAAAAGACAGGCCAGAGGUUUCCCUUCUUGAGGCAUUGGCGACGUGAUCUCCAGUAAGCAUGUAAAGUUCUUUUUCAAAAAUAACAUAUGCCGGGCCGCCUGGGUGGUUCAGUCAGUUAAGCAUCUGACUUCAGCUCAGGUCAUGAUCUCACAGGUCGUGGGUUCCAGCCCCGUGUCGGGCUCUGUGCUGACAGCUGGGAGCCUGGAGCCUGCUUCGGAUUCUGUGCCUCCUUCUCUCUCUGCCCCUCCCCUGCUCGUGCUCUGUCUCUCUCUCAAAGAUAAAUAAAUAUUUUUUAAAAAAAUCAAAAACAAAUAACAUAUGCUCCUGAGCAAAUGUGAUUAGGGGUCUUCAAAGGUUCAGAAAAAGCCGAGGUAAGAGUUCAGACUUUCAUAAUCUUGUAAGCGCACUUGGCAAACUGGGUUAAUAACUAACUGGGUUAAGUGACUCAGAGAAAAUUCCCACAUCCUACUUGUGGUCACCGUAGUGGUGCUGCUCUGAGGCCUGUGUUUGGUCUUAAAAUAGUGCCUUGAGAUCUUUGACUAGCCUUAUCUCAGAGUUUGAAUCACCUUUGGUCUCUUCCUAAGGUCUUUGUGAAAUAAGGAGCACUAAGUCACUCAUUUUGUGGACAGUGAAAAUCACUAGAAGUUUCAGGUAAAGCUGAGCUGUGAUGCUGUCUCUAUAGGGCCUUACCUGACCCCAGACAGUUUUGAAGCUGGGAUGACCCUUCACAGUUGUCCCCAGUUGUGGCCAGGGGAUCAGGCCUUUAUUCUCCCCCAUCUAUCAGCCUUUGCACGCUGGCCUCUCCGGGAAGAGGGUGUGGCCUUGAGCAGGUGGCUCUCUACAGAGAUAAGCCCUCCAGGCAGCAGAUGGUGGAAGGCGUCUUUCAGCAGCACUCCAGCGACCGAGACUGUCUUUGGUCCCGUGUCAGGGCAUCCCAGUGUCCACCAUAGGGAACUGGAGGAGAAGGGCAUAAUCCUUAGCUAAGAGAGAUGUGACGUGCCAUUGGUGCCUUCUGCCAGUCGUGCAAGUGCGAGCUCAUCCCUGGUGGGGUGCUUUUGGGUCUCCUUCACUGCAGUUCUUUGCAAGGCUUUUCAGUCUAGCUGCCUGUGGUUCCCACACACACUCCCCGGUGCUCCUUUGGAAGGACACUCUUUUCAAGAUGACCCAUUAGUAGGUCCUGUCUCCAGAGUCCACAUUCUGUUCCUUGGAAAAAUGUCUUUGCUUACUCUUGGUGACCAACCAGCCUGGCUUUGUCCUGUUUUUAGGACUGGAGUCUCACGUCUCGGGAGGUCUUUCAGUCCUGGACGGAUCGGGACGGCUGGUCACCCCAGAACCUACAGAUCCAAAGCAGCUACAGCAUCACACAUUUAGACUUUUCCAGUGCGAAUCAAACACCCAUUUCCAUGCCCGCCAAACUCUGGAGACUCAUGCAAAAUCUUCCAAGUGGGCCCUGCGAAGCCUUGGCACUAGGCUUGAGGCAGAGGGGAAGUGUAUGCUCCCGUCUCCCUUGAAGUGGGAAGCAGAACACAACAGCUAAUGCUCCGAAGAAGGCCUGUCUUGGGCCGGCAUUUCCAUGUCCCUUAACAUCUUCUUAUCUAGCCUAGAAGUGGGUCAUGAGCUACAUCUUACAAGAUCUGUUAGCUCCUCUGCUUAGGAUGGAGUAAGGUAAACUCUCUGGGUAGGAGUCCCUGAGGGACCAUGUGCCGGUAGGAGACCAUUCCCUGGGGGCCUGCUGGUAGUUUUCAGGAGGUAAGUUGGACAGAAAUCCACUUCUCAGCAUUAGCGUUCAUUUCAAUAUUUCUUCUUUCGGGCUCGAUGGCCUUGGGCCAGAAACUUUAAGAGUUAGGCGCAUAAGGAUCAUCCAAGGAUUCUGUUAAAAAUGUAGAUUAUCUGACCUUAAACACGAAAAGAGGCUCAACUUCAUUUAUGAUACGAGAAAUGCGUACUGAAACUCACAGAAUACCAUUCUAACUGUCCAACUGGCAAACACGUGACACUUUCUUUCAGCAACACUAAGGGAAGAAUCGGGGCUCUCAUACGUUAUUGCCCUAGUCCCUGUGAAGAAAUGUUUGGCAAUAUCUAACGAAACUACAGGUGCACUUACCCUUUGAUCUAGAAACCCCACUUCUGAUCAUCUGUCCCACGGAAACAACUGUGCACAUAACUGACUUACAUAGUCAUUUAUUGUGACAUUGUAAUAGCAAGAGAUUAGAAAAAACCCAAGUAGAAAACAAUAAGAGACCUGUUAUUAAACCAUAGUAGAUUCAUACAAUGGAAUAUCAUACAACAGUAUAAAAAUAUAUAAUGGGAGUAUCUGUACACUCCUAACAUGAAGAGACCUUUAGCAUCUAAUGUUAUGUGAAAAAAAUUAAAUAACAGGUUGCAGAUAUAUAUAUUUAACUUUUGCAAGAAAGGGGGAAAUAAGAAUAUAUGUGCAUGUUUGCAUUAAGGAAAAAAGGAUAAUAUAAGGGACAAGGGGGAAAGAACGUGAUGGGGGAGAGGGACUUAGGAGAGUAGUCUAAAUGCUUUGCUAUGUUGGGGCACCUGGGUGGCUCAGUCGGUUAAGCGGCCGACUUCGGCUCAGGUCAUGAUCUUGCGGUCUGUGAGUUCUAGCCCUGCAUCGGGCUCUGUGCUGACUGCUCAGAGCCUGGACCCUGCUUCAGAUUCUGUGUCUCCCUCUCUGACCCUCCCCUGUUCAUGCUCUGUCUCUCCCUGUCUCAAAAAUAAAUAAACGUUAAAAAAAAUUAAAAAAAAAAAUGCUUUGCUAUGUUUAUGUCCUAUACACUUGAUUUUUGAACCAUGCAAACUGUGUGCUAUUCAAUAAAGCAGUUUAGAACGAUGUGGAUUUCCAAACCUAUCCCCUUACCCAAUUCUAAUUUACUGAUUCUAGGGCGGGACACAGAAUUCUGUAUUUUUGUAGAGAUUUGGAGGCAGAUGAGCCAAGAAACACACAAGGAGAAAGAUGCUCUACAUGAACCUUCUCCUACGUUAUUUUACUAGCAUUUGGUUUUAACCAUUCAGUUGAACUAAAUUAAUAAAUAUUUGAUGGCACAUCGUGUUCCAGGAAAGGCCACUGGGGAGGGACCAGUAGAAUUGACCGGAGGACCCUAAUGGCAUCAGUGGAUGUGUGGCGCAGUACGGAGUGAGGUCGGAAACCCAUCUAGAAACCGGUCACAUGGCCAAGAAGGCUGUCCAAGUGGUAGACAGCCCAUGGGGGAAGCUGUGUGCUCCCACCUGUCCUUAAAGAGUCUAAGACAUUUCCGCAGGAGUAUCUGCGUUCUCAAUGUUACGGAAGCAGCAGACUAGAGGCGAAUUAUUUAAAAAAUGAAGCAUUGGCAGCUGGGGCAAUGUUCUGGGUUGAAGUGUGUCCCCCAAAAAGAUGGGUUGAAGUCUUAACCCCUGGUAUACGUGUAUGUGAACUUAGUUGGAAAGAGGGUCUUUGCAGGUGUAAUCAUGUUAAAAUGAGGUCACAGGGUGGGCCCUAGAUUCCACAUGACUGGUGCCUACGGAGAGGGAAAUUUGGAUACUGAGGUACAGGGACACACAGACACGUAGUGAAAAAGGCCAUGCGACGACAGGCACAGGUUGGUAUGACGCAGCUGUAGACUGAGGAGCACCGGGUGUGCUGGCAACCAGCUGAAGCGAGGACGAGGCGGGGAAGGAUUUGUCCCUAGAGCUUUCAGAGGGAGUGCGGCCCCUGCCAACACGUUAAUUUUGGAUUUCAAGCCUCAGGAAGGACGAGAGAAUAAAUGUCUAUUGUUGUGAGCCCCCCAUUUUGUGGUAGCUGGUCACGGCUGCCCUAGGAGACUGAUACACUAAUGCAGGUGGUGAGGAAGAAAAGUAAAGGCAAAAAGAAUUCCAGGCCUCACGAGCUAGAGAACAGGGAUCCCUCUAAUCCCUGGCUGGAGGGAUUAGAAAGGAUGGGGGGCUGGGUUUUAACUCACCAAGUUUUAGGCACAAGCAGGCCUAGAAGAACUGAUAGAUUCUGUGAGGAAUUGCCCACGAUGUCAGAAGGGGGAUCAGCGUGUAUUCUGUGCAUCACCGUCUAUCAACCAAGGGUUCGUCGAUGCCUUCUAGCUCCACAGCCCCGCGUCUCUGAGGGUGCUAAGGAGGUAGAGGAAUGAAAUCCCUCCCCUCAGGAAGUUCAUGUCAUACAAUUGAGAGAUGGGGCCUACAUACGGGAAGAAUAAGUCAUCUUGAAAGGAGUAAAUACCUCACAAAUGGGUAUAAGUUUACACUUUAGAGGGAGUGUUGUGCUAGCAAAUAUUUAACAACUGGCUUUCCAAAAAAGGAAACUCUGAUAUGUAUUGUUUGACACUUUGUUUUAUUAUUUUAUUUUAUUUUAUUUUAUUAUUUAUUAAUUUUAUUUUAUUACUUUAUUUUGGGGGGGGGGUGGCAAAGAGAGAGGGAGACAGAAUCCCAAGCAGAUUCCGUGCUGUCAGUGCAGAGCCCAAUACGAUGUGGGGCUUGAACUCAUGAACUGUGACAUCAUGACCUGAGCUGAAACCAAGAGUCAGACGCUUAACCGACGGAGCCACCCAGGCGCCCAGUCGGCCCUUGGAGUCCGUGUGAGCCGCUGUGAGCUAGCUCCAGCACCCCACCAAGCUGAGAACCCUGAAGCCAGGGGAAGGAGGAUUGCAGGAGGAAACAGAAGCUUAGCAAGAUCUUAAGGACAGGCAGAUUCAGGAGGAAGGGAAGAGCCUUCCACAAGAAGCAGCUUGAGUGAGAUUCAAGAGAGGAAAUGGAGAGAAAGGCUCUGAGCCAGAUGGGUCUGAGGUCAGGUCUGAGCGCAGGCGCUUAUUGGCUGUGUGAGGCAGACCUCAGCUUACUCAUCUGCAAAACAGUACCCAUUACACAGGAUUAUAUGACACAGGCAUGUUACUCGGUAUAUAAUAGACACUCAAAAAUGUUGUUGCCCUAAGCAGUGAGCUGAAUAGUUUUGUUGAAGUGUCAUAGGGAUGUAGUGAUAAAGCUCUAAACACACACACACACACACAAUUUAUAUAUACAUAUACAUGUAUAUAUACACACAUAUGAAUAUGUGUACGUAUAUAUUAUACAUACACAUAUGAUUACAAACAUAUGAAUAUACAUAUACAUAGUUCUCUAUUUACUAAGACAAAGCUGUGUGGUCAGGCAUGGGGAGGUAUUUCGUUCUCCUUGAACGUAGGUUAGGAGACCUCCAGAGCAUUACCUCAUUCCUGUUUAGUUCUUCAAGGACAGCCGAGGGAUGAGAACUUAGGAGAGAAACAUCCUACCCAGGCCUUUGAGGCGACAAACAACCCCGGCAGGACCGGAAAAAGUGCUCACGUGAAGACGGGUUCUUGCCAGACUUGUUGACAAAAGGGAUUUUAGGUCAGCGUUUAUCCUUCAGGAAACAACAGGGAAACAGGACCCAUUCUGCAUUCUGUCAACGAGGUGAGCAACCAUUUCAGAACUGGAGCAAAUUCCUGGCACCGAACAAAAGCAAGUGUCAUUUGAGGUUGUGAUGGAGUUGAGCAGGGGCAUCGGAACGUGUCUUUCGAUUUGGGUUGAGUCACUGGGUAGACAGAAAGGGCUCCUCUGUAGUUCAGUUGUUUCUAGUUUAGCAACUCGAUUCAAAAUUAAAUUCUCCAGCUACAAGCUUAAGUGCACGUCAUGGCUCAUCCAGGAACUGGGCUAGAUGAGUAAAUUGCCCUGUACAACCCAUCACCACUGCGAGAAAAACGAUGGUAGUAAUCUUAUGUUUGUUGUCCCACUUACUUGUACUCACCUUGUGACUUCAAAGAAUUAAAGGAGACUUUUGGAUCUGCAUGGCCACUUACGUCAAAACGUGUGAAGAUUGGUUGUCCCUGGGAGGAAAUCAGAAUUGCUGAAAGCCAAGGAUGAUCUGUGACAAAGAACAAAUGAGAAAAAAAGUCCAGAACCAAGCCAUAAAGGUCAUUCCCAUCAAAGAUGAGCUGCAAUGGCACCUAGGACACAGAGGGUUGACAAGGGAAGGCCUGGGAAUACAACAGGAUUAUGAAGGACACUUAGAAUAUGAGGGAGAAGAGCAGACCAAGCAAAUGGAACAAUCUGAACGCAGCUAGAAAACAAAAAUGGCAAACUCAAAAGGCUGUGGGUGGUGUAGUGACGGGCCAGGUAGGAGGCAGGCCAGGCUGCUGCCAUUAUGUCCAAGCUUAGUGCCUUCAGCUGCUGUCUGAGCUUGAUGCAAAGGCUACGUGAAAUAGAUGUUGGGGCCACAUAGGGACCUCAUGCCACCAGCUUUCCACCUGAGAUGUGGAGGGAGGUAGGGCUAAGCCUAGUUCAUGAGGUAGGAAAUGGGAAGACAGAUAGCAUUUGUGGGACGGGGCUGAAGGCAGGGCUGGGUCCUACAGCUGGGGAUGGGUGGAUGAGGAAGACACUGGCAAACGUGAUGAUUAAAAAUAUUCCUGCUUCCUUUGUGUUACGUUGAAACUAUAUAUUUAAAAAGAAUUAUGGAAAGAGCCCAAAUGUCCAUCGACUGAUGAAUGGAUAAAGAAGAUGUGAUACACACACACACACACACACACACACACACACAGUGGAAUACUCCUCAGAGAAGAAAAAGAAUGAAAUCUUGCCAUUUGCAACCAUGUGGAUGGAACUAGAGGGUAUUAUGCUAUGCUAAGCAAGUCAGUCAGGGAAAGACAAAUAUCAUAUGAUUUCACUCAUAUGUGGAAUUUAAGAAACACAACGGAUGGGGGCAGAGUGUCUGACUUCAGCUCAGGUCAUGAUCCUGCCAUUCGUGGGUUGGAGCCCCACAGCUGGCUCACUGCUGUCGGUCUGUCGGUGGAGAGCCCACUUUGGAUCCUCUGUCUCCCUCUCUCUGCCCCUCCCCUGCUUCUGCUCUCACAAAAAUAAAUAAAUAUUAAAAAAAAAAAAAAGAAACACAACAGACGAACGUAGGGGAAGGAAAGGAAAAAUAAGACAGAAACAUGGAGAGAGGCGAACUGUAAAAGACUCUUAAAUACAGAGAACAAACUGAGGGUUGUUGGAGGGGAAGUGGGUGGGGGAUGGGUUAAAAGGGUGACGGGCAUUAAGGGGAACACUUUUUGGGAUGAGCACUGGGUGUCAUACUAUUCCUAAAACCAAGACUACACUGUAUGUCAACUAACUUGAAUUUAUAUUAAAAAAAUAAAAAAAUGAAAAAGAAUUAUGUUUUCCAAUGCAAAUGUGUUCAGAGCAGCAAGGUAGGAUAAGUGAACAUUUGUAUACUUUAGCUGGACAUUGGUGUUCAUCUAUGUAUUGUUUUGAACAACAGAGGGCCUGAUUUUGUUGUCAAUUAUGGAAGAAAAUGCAUACACGUGGGUCCCUCUCUUGAAUUUCCCUGAUUUAGUCAUCUUAAGUGUUUUAUACAAAAGGAAGGCCUCAAAACAGACAAAGUGAACCAAAGAAGUAACAUCCAAGGUGCCUAUUUUAAUGGCUUGAUUUUUAUAUAAGGUCAUUUGAAAGGAACAAAACAGUUGAAUUCUUUCUUUGGGAGUAACAGUUCAAAGGGGGAAGAAGAAGAACUUAUUUUAUUAUUAUACCUAUCAAGUACUAUUCUUUUGACUACAUAUUUUAAAGAGAUCAUUUCAUCUAACAGGCAUUGUAAUUUAAAAAAAUCUAUAGAUCAGGGAACGAAGAUGUCCUGUGUUUUAGAAAUUUGCUCAGGAUUAACACAGUCUGUGGCAGGGCAUGUGUGUAAUUGGGAUGGCUGGAGUGGACCACACUGUGAACCAUGUAAGAGGCACAUGGUUUUGCUUUUGGAGUUUUUGGUCUUGGUCUAGGACUCAAUGGUUAACAGCAGUGAAGCCACUAGCUUUUGUUGUUGUUAGUCAAAACUUCCCCUUUGGAGUUUAAAAUUUCAUGAUGAUUUUCUUUUGCACCAGCCGGGGUUCUACCAGAGAAAUAGAACCAGUGGAGGAUGGAUGGAGGGAUGGAUGGAUGCAUGGGUGCAUGGACGGAUGGAUGGAUGGACGGACAGAUAGGUUACAAGGAAUUGGCUUACCAGGGCAGGAAUUGGUAAUGCAGUCCACCGAUGGAAUUUCUUCUUCCUCAGGGAAACCUCAGUUUGGCUCUGAAAGCCUUCAACUGGUUGGAUGAAACCCACAAUAUGGCAAAAAGAUAAUCUCCUCUGCUUAAAGUCAACCGAUUGUAGGUGUUAAAUACACCUACAAAAAUACAGCUGACCCUCGAACAACAUGGGUUGGAACUGCACAGGUCCACUUAUAUGUGGAUUUGUUUCAACAAGGGUAUCAAAAAACCUUUGUUGAGAUUUACCACCAUUUGAAAAAGCUCGAACAUGACCUGCAUAGGCUAGAAAUACCAAAAAGCUUCAGAAAAAGUCAGGUGUGUCCUAGACUGGUAAAAUCCCCAGUCUAUUUUACCAUUUACCACCAUAAAGUAUCCAAAAAUCUAUCAUAAAAGUUGAAACUUACAAAAACGUAUGCACACAAAUACUUACAGACCGUACCGGGUGCCAUUUACGGUCAAGAGAAAUGCGUACAAACAUAAAGAUGUAGUAUUAAGUCGCAACUGCGUGAAAUCAGCUAUAGGACAUGUGGGACCACUGUAAAAACUUCACACCACUUCUUUCACACCACUCACGAUAGCUUCACUGCUAUUGCAGUGAGCUCAGGUGUACCAAAUAUCCACUUAAAACACACUGUGACACUGGGGUGCCUGGGUGGCUCAGUCGGUUAAGAUGUCUGACUCUUGAUCUCAGGAUCAGGUCAUGAUCUCAUGGUUUGUGAGAUGAGAGCUGAGAGCACGGAGCCCACUUGGGGUUCUCUCUCUCCCUCUUUCUCUCUGCCCCUUCCCAGGGGCAAGUGCCCCUGCUCGCACGUGUGCUCUCUCUCUCUCUCAAAAUAAAUCGAUAAACUUUUUAAAAAGUGUUAAGAUAACAGGAGAAGCAGCUUCUGUCACCCGAAAGGCAGCAGACGAGUUUCCAGAUGACAUGAAGAAAAUCAUUGAGGAGAAAGACUAUUUGCCUGAGCAGGUUUUUAGUGAAGGUGAAAGUGCCUUAUUCUGGAGAAAAAAAAAAAAUGCCACAAAUAACAUUUGUAAGUAAGGAAGAGAAGCGAUCGGUAGGAUUUGAGGCAGGAGGGGAUAGGCUCACUACUGUUUUGUGCAAAUGAAGUCAGGUUAAUGAUGAAGACUGCCCGUAUCUCUAAAGCUAACCCCCGAGCCUUGAAGGGAAAAGAUAAACACUAGCUACCCAUCUUUGGUUGUAUAACAAGAAGACCUGGACAGCGAGAACCCUUUUUCUGGAUUGGUUCCACCGAUUCUUUGUCCUUGAAGUCAGGAAGUACCUUGUCAGUAAGGGGUUGCCUUUUAAAGUUCUUUUGAUAUUGAACAGUGCCCCUGGCCACCCAGAACGCUGUGAGUUCAACACCGAGAGUGUCAAAGUGGUCUACUUGCCCCAAAACACUGUCUCUGAUUCAGCCUCUAGAGCAGGGGCUCAUAAGGAUCUCUAAGGCUCAUUACACAUGACACUCUAUGGAAAGGAUUGUCAACACUGUGGAAGCGAUCCCCAGUGGAGAGAACAUCAUGAAAGUCUGGAAGGAUUACACCAGUGAAGAUGCCAUCACUGUUACAGAAAAAGCCAUGAAAACCACCAAACCUCAAACGAUCCAUCCCUGCUGGAGAAAACUGUGUCCAGAUGUUGUGCAUGACGUCACAGGAUUUAUGAAAGAGAUUGUGGCAAAAAGACGGUGGGGGCGGAGGUGAGUGGGAAUGAAGGAUUUUAAGACGUGGAUCUUACAGGAAUUUAAGAGCUACUCGGCACAACAGCAGAGGAACUAACGAGAGGGCUUGAUGGAUGCGAGCGCUUCCGAGCUGGUGUCAGAUGAUGAAGAAGAAGAUACAGAAAGAAAAAACAGUGCCAGAAAACAAAGCGACGUUACAUAUUCUGGCAAAAGAGCUCUGCUUAUUCAAUGGCCUUUGACUUCUUUUAUGACAUGGAUCUGUCUAUCACAUGGGCACCAAAACUAAAGCAAAUGGCAGAAGAAGGGUUGGCAUGGGAUGGAAACAAUUUUAGAGAAACAAUACAGCAAGAAAGUCCGGCAGAAAUGAUGACGUAGUUCCGCAAAGUUGCCCCGAGUGUGCCAACGUCGCCCGCUUUCUUUCCCUUCUACCUUCCCCACAUCUUCUGCCUUUGCCGCCCCUGGGGCGGCAAAUCUAACCCCUCUUCCUCUUCCUCCUCCUUCCCAGCCUACUCAAUCCAAAGACAACAAGGAUGAAAACCUUUAUGAAGAUCCACUUCCCCUCACCGAAGU
rnacentral:lncRNA from 1 species